rnacentral:tRNA from 1 species
UGGGUAAUAGCUCAGUGGUAGAACACAUGCUUAGCAUGCAUGAGGUCCUGGGUUCAAUCCCCAGUAUCUCCA